UGCAAAUCAAUAUAAAUUGAUUUUUGUUAUUAAUUAUUUAUUAAUAAAAUUUUUAUUUAUUAAUUUUAAUAUUAUUAAAAAUAAUUAUAUAAUUUGUUUGUUUUAGUAAUUUUUAAUGAAAGAAUAAUUUUUAUGAUAGUUUAUUUGUAUUGUGAAAGAUAAUUGAAAUAAUUUUGAAAAAUUUUUAUUUUAAAAGAAAAAUUUUUUUUUUUGUACCUUGUGUAUCAGGGUUUAUUAAAUAAUUGAUAAUUAUUUUAUUAUUCUCGAUUUUAUAAGAGUUAAUAAUUUACUAAAAUUAAUGUAUUAAAAUUAUUUUAAAUAAAUUAUUAGAAAUGAAAUGUUAUUCGUUUAUAAAGGUAUCUAGUUUUUUUAGAAAUAAAUUUAAUUUAUAAAUUUUUAAUUUUUUUAUUAUUUAUUUAAUAAAAAAAAUUAUUAAUUUAAGUAUUUUAAGGGAUAAGCUUUAAAAUAAAUUAUUAAAAAUUAAUUGAUUUUGAAUUUUAAAAUAUAUGCUUAUAAUUAGCAAUUAUUAUUAAUAUUGUUAUAAAUUAUUUUAUAAAAAUAUUAUUUCAUUUAAUUUUAAUAUUUUUAUAAAAAUUUUUUUUUUAAUUUAAAUAUAAAAAGUAUAAAUGAUAAAAUUAGUAUAUUAAUUUUAAUGUAUAAUAUAAAUUUAAUUGAUAAGUUUAUAUAAAGAACUCGGCAAAUAUUAUACUCGCCUGUUUAACAAAAACAUGUCUUUUUGAGUUAUUUUUAAAGUCUAACCUGCCCAAUGAAUAAAUUUUAAUGGCCGCAGUAUCUUAACUGUGCAAAGGUAGCAUAAUCAUUAGUCUUUUAAUUGAAGGCUUGUAUGAAUGGUUGGACGAAGUAUAAACUGUUUCAUAUAAAUUUGUAAUAGAAUUUUAUUUUUUAGUAAAAAAGCUAAAAUAUUAUUAAAAGACGAGAAGACCCUAUAAAUCUUUAUAUUAUAAAUUAUUAAUUUUUUUUUGAUUUUUUAAAAUUUAAUAAUUUAUAAUAUUUUAUUGGGGUGAUAUUAAAAUUUAUUAAACUUUUAAUUUAAUUUUACAUUAAUUUAUGAUUUAUUGAUCCUUUAUUAUUGAUUAUAAGAAUAAGUUACUUUAGGGAUAACAGCGUAAUUUUUUUGGAGAGUUCUUAUCGAUAAAAAAGUUUGCGACCUCGAUGUUGGAUUAAGAGAUAUUUUUAGGUGUAGUCGCUUAAAUAUAAAGUCUGUUCGACUUU
rnacentral:rRNA from 1 species